AUCAAAGCCCAGUGAGGUAAAAUCAGAAUGAUGAUUAAUUAAUUAAUCAUUUAAGGUAAUGCUCAAAAAUAUGUUUAUGUUGAUUUUUUUUUUUUUAAGACACAUUUAGCUAAAACUAAACGAUUGUUGAGAGCAGACAUUAAACAAAUGUCUCAUUAACUUAAUGUCCCCCAUAUUUUACCCCCUUAGUGGCAGAUAAAAUGUCAAUUAAACCUCAUAAAUACAUGUUUCUACUUGUUCACAUGUUGUAAUUUAAUCCAUUGAUUUCCAUGUAAACUUUUCACACAAAAAAUAACUGAAAAAAUUACAAUUUUAAAAUAUCUAAGUUAAGUUAAGUUUUUUUCAUGGUGGUUUUAUUUUGAAAGGAUUGAUGUAAAGCCGCUAAAAGUUCAGUUCCAUCAGUUCUUUUCAUUUUUCAUUUAUCCAUUUUUUGUUUGGAUUUCCGCUAAACUCUCAUCCAAAUGCUUAUAGAUGAAAAAUAUUUCAGUUUUUUUUUUUUACUUUUUCAGGCGACAAAUGAGGGAAAAUGUCCUAAAAUUCCUAAAAAAUUAUAGUUUACAUAGUUUAGAAAGAGUAAAAGUUGUUCAUGAUUCAUGAAAAGUUGUGGAUGUAUAUAAAUUAAAGAUGAGUUUUGCUCAUGGCAGAAAAAGGUGGCAGACUUAAAAAUAAAAGAAAAAAUGGAAAAAAGUCUUCAUAUCUAAAGAAUAGAUCUUUAAUGAUGUAUAAAAGUUUUAGCUAAUUCAUUCAUCAAGCUGCAACAAAACAAAAGGUUAGUUUGUGGCAAAAGAAUUUCUGACUUAUACUUGCUGGAGGUUUGGGUUGCCAGGUCUUUGACAUUUUGCCAGCGCAUUUGAUGGACAGCUGUCAACAUUGUUCUCCUCAUCCACACAGCCUUCCAUCAACAGCCUGUCGCCGCUGCUCAGCAGGCCCGCUGAGGCGAAAGCGGCCCCCGCUGCGUCUCCCGGGGUGGACGCCAACGCCUCGCAGAGCGGCAGAGCCCGGCUGGAGCCAGAGGAGCCCAACGCUCAGCUGGAAGACCUCAGGGGCCAAAUCAAAGACCUGCUGCUGACUGUGGAGCUGCUCAAAGUCCAGCAAACGAAAGAGAUCUCGGAGCUUCGAGUGGAGCUGGAUGAGGAGCGGCUAAAGCGCCUCACGCUGCAGGUAGCAUUGAUGGCAGUGGAGCCACACGCUGAGCCGUCUGCGUUCAGCUUAAAGCACUUAUUGAGCGUUUGUGGGUUCAUGGUCAGAUCAGCCCCGCCUUGUUUACGCUCAGUGCUCCUCGCUGGCCUCCAAAUGUACACUGGUCUGGGUCCUCUAGCAGACUUUUCUUUAAUGCCAACAAAAACUUGAUAAGCAGCACAUUUGCAGCUACUCAACGGGUAAAAGUUGGUAUUCUCUCAAUAUGCUUCUCAUCAAAUGAGUAAACACAGUGAUUGUGUCAGAGUUUAGGGAAAAUCAUCAAAACUUUUUUCACUUUGGAAUACAUUUUGCUGCAGUUCAAAGAAAUGUAGAGGAUCCUGGUUUUCUAAAAGUUUGGGCUUUUAUUCUGAAAGAGGGUUGCAGCGCUGAACUGUUGGGAAUCAAAUCCAAACUUU
ensembl:lncRNA